AUGCCCUAUCUUCCCAAGUGGCUUCUUCAGAAGUAAAAUUAGUUCACUGCACCAAAUCUUGAACCACUUGCUGGCCAUUCCUGUUAAUGGUUCUUGUUUUUAGAGUAGCAGCGGGCACCACAAUGAAUUCUUCCUCAGUCAUAGCAGGUAGCUGUGAUUGUGGAACCGCAUUGUCUCCUAUUUUCUUUUUAAGGAAGGGGACAUGGAAGACAGGAUGUAUAGUUGCAUUGUAAGGCAAUUGGAGAUUACAAACAACCUGUCCAAUCCUUUUCUCCACUUGGAAAGGCCCAUAAUAUUUAGCUGCCAACUUCAAACUUUUCCUGACAGCCAAGGAUGUUUGCCUAUAAUGUUGCAACUUAAAG
rnacentral:misc_RNA from 1 species